GACAGAGGGUGCAAACGUUGUUCGGAAUUACUGGGCGUAAAGCGCGUGUAGGCGGCUUGGCAAGUCGGGUGUGAAAGCCCCGGGCUCAACCUGGGAAGUGCACUCGAAACUGCUUGGCUUGAGUACUGGAGAGGGAAGCGGAAGUUCUCGGUGUAGAGGUGAAAUUCGUGAGAGAUGCGGAGGAACACCGAUGGCGAAGGCAGCCCCCUGGGCCGACACUGACGCUCAGGCACGAAAGCGUGGGGAGCAAACGAGGAUUAGAAACCCCGUG
rnacentral:rRNA from 1 species